rnacentral:snRNA from 1 species
GCCUUUACUUGGCAGCUCGCCCACUAAAAUUCAACCCGUGUAGAGAUUAGCAUAGUCCCUGUGCUAAGAUGUCAUGCAAAAUUGUGGCACCUUCCAUAAUUUU